GCGGCUAUGGUCUAGUGGCUAUGACGUGAGCUUCCCAAGCUCGAAGUCCGGGUUCAAUUCCCGGUAGCCGCA
rfam:Methanocella paludicola SANAE DNA, complete genome.